AUGGGGAAGCUCAUCAGCGGGGGCCACGUGCUGAGUGCUCGUCACUCCCUGGGAGGUCUGAGACUGGGCCCUCCCUGAGCAGGGAGGUGAGUUCCCAGAGAGCAGGGCCCCACGUUGGGCGCCACUUUUUGUGCCUGCUAACAGUCAGCUGGGUAGAGGUAUGCGGACUGAAGAGACAAUGAAGAAGACAGAAAAGAGUCGAGAGGUCUGCUGGUCAAUGCCAGACAGCCCUGAGUUUAUUUCACAGCCAGCUUAUAUACAGUUUUGAAGGACAGGGGUAGAACAAUGCACAGCACAUGCAUUCAACCACUAUCUUAUCUU
rnacentral:RNase_P_RNA from 1 species